GUUGGCAUUUUGCAGAGAACUAGAAAUAAACACCUGCCCUGUGUUGACCCCUUUGACAAGCAAGGUCAGAUGUGCCAGCCUCCCUCAUGCUUGGGUACUGUCCAGCAGGGGGAGUGCUGGAGUCCAGCUCCAAGAGUUCAGGUCCCUAAGAGGAGGCAUGGAGUCGGUGAGGGGAAGAAGGAGACUGACACGAUCUGAGUGCUAAUCCGGAUGGCUGCCGGUUUAUUGAAAAAGGCCACACCUUUUAUAGUCAAUAGUUUAGCCACAGACAAGAUUGAAAGCAGCUCAAUAAUUCAGGGGCUGAAAGCAGGCAUUAACUUCAUUACAGACCAAAGUCGUGGCUCUAUGAGUGAAAUAUGACCAUGUUCACAUCACCACACAUGGUAUUUCUAUGUGCCACCUUGGGCAGGCUAUGGUGCCGGAUAUCGGAGUCAAACACCAUUCUUGAUGUUGCUGGGAAGAGGGAUUUGACAAUUAAAUCAAGAGAUGCUGCAUAAGGCAGAUGACCUGCAUGCCGAUGGAGCACAGGAAAUCUCGGAGAUCCUAAAAUCUGGACUCAUAGCCCACUUCCAUCUCCGCUUUUCCUGGUACUCCCUCCUGCCUGCAACAGCCUGAGAUGCCGGAACUCAACUUGCCGCUUUUCCAACUAAGUAUUUCUGGAACUCACUGAUCUGCCUAUUCGCUACAAUCCGGUAAGAAACCCAAACCGUUCCUAUGGGGCAGACCCAGCGCUGUUCACUCUGGGUCCAUUUUUCGGUUUCGGGCCGGGUGCUCUCAGACAGGGCAAUCUGUGCAUUUUUUGGCCUUGCCCACGAGAAAUACAUUUUUACGGGAUCUUUCGGUUACUGGCAGCGAAUAGGUAAAUGAGCGGAGUUCUGCCUCCCAGUGGGAACUUUCUUUCACCUGGGAAUGUCCCUCAUUGUUCUGUUUGUUCUUUCUCUGACUGUUUCUUCUUGGUUGGCAAUGUCUGCUUGAGAUGCUCUGAGAGUUUUGUUUGUCUGCUGGUUUUCAUUUUUCCACAUGAAUGAGGUUUGAAACUUUUCUGGCAAUUGAGAAUGUGCUUACGGGGGUCGCCACCUCGACCUCGUGUGCUAACCUGGGGGCCGCCAUCUUGGUCAUAACCAGGUGACCUGGCUUAGGCCUACCCACUCAGUUCAAUGACUUCCACCGGCAAGCACUGCCACCUGACAUCUUGCUUUUUAUUUCUUUCACUUGUUGGGUGCAUUUCCUAAAGGUCAGGCAUGGGAUCCCGCUCCAGGAGCGGUGCUUUUUUGCUUUUUUCACUUCAGACCGCUGGGUCCUUUUUCGGUUUCGGGACAGCUGUGUCCCCUUCGGGGCCAGGCCCCUGGCAACUCCCACGGGCAGACGUGCAUCCGUAGAGGAGCUUUUUGCCGGUUCUCCACCUGCCUCACCCAUGGGAAAUGCAUAGAGGAACCUUUCUGGUUUCAUCCAACAAGCAGGUAAACAGACAAAAGCGGCUUACGGUUGCUGCUGUUUUGGUCAUGUGACCUACCUGUAGGCACACACAGCUUACCUGUCUACCAGAUUUUUGAUUUCUGCCAGAUCUUUUUGCUUUUUAUUUUAUUUUUUGUCUAUGAUUUCUUCUUUCACCGACUCUGUUGUUCAUGGCUUGUUUACUAAAUACUGUGCCUUUCCAGGGCCCUCUGUUUAAAUCUACUCUGUCCCUUUAAAUCUCCUGUCUGUUUGCUACAAUGUACGGAUCAGAGAUUACAAUUUGACUCCCCCUUUACUGUUAUCCAGUCCUGCUUAUCUCUGUACCUGUAAUUUAACUUUAUACUUAUCUAGCUCUAUAUACAACUUAAAUUAAACUAUUAAGUCUCAUAUUUCUAAAUUGCUAUAUAUCUUUAAAUGAUGAUAAAAGUUUAAAAUCAUAAAGGUCUAUUUCAAAUUAACAAAAUAUUUAUACCACUCAGUUUAUCCUGUAAGCCAUUUACAAAGGUACAGCUUUUAUUACAAAAAGGAAUUUUUCUCUAACUAAAGGCAAACUUAACUGCUAAGAUACUAAACAGACAGCCCUCAAAUGCUCAGAGAUCUAGAGAAUAUGGCAUUUAAAAUGUUUUGUUAAAAAGCUUUUUGUAACAGAGAGAUAGGCCAGCUGCUGGCCCCACCCCAUUUCCUCCGAGAAGACUGACGGGCACUGAAGAAACUUCAUCUCGGGUCAGUGACAAAGCUGGUCACUGAGCAACCCUGCCCUUCACCUCAACUGGUACAAAGUAUUCCAGACCAUGGACAAGAGGACGAUGGAAUCGACUUUCCCGGCGUUGCUUGGGCCAACGGUAGGCAAGUCUUCCCAAAGUCUGUAAUCCACAGGUCACAAGUUAUCAGCAAGAAGGCAGGUGUCCUGCAGCCCACUACAAUGGAUGGAGGACCUUGGGGAUGGCUGUCCAUACAGCUGCUGGCAAGUCUCUGUUAUUCUUUAAUCAUUGAUUCAGGUAAAAUCUUAUCCUUCUCAAGAACUCUGAUGCUUUUGACGACUGGUAGUCUUGCCAGCUUAAAGCAAAACAGAUUCCAGUAACAGGUAUUUUAGGGUUUAUCUAUGUAAAGAUAGGAAAGUCUAAAAUGUAUGAAGGUCUGAGAAUGUAGUUACGAAGGCCUGAGGAUAUAAAGGCUUAAAUGGUGAAUAAAAAAUGUUCCUGAUUUCUCUAUUUCUCAUGCUACUGUUCAUAGUAAAGUUCAACAAUACCACUAUAUGAUCAUAACUACAAGGUCAAGAUUAAGAUGCUUUUCAUUGUCCUAAAAAAUCUGUCUGUUUUAAAAUGGUAAUGCUUUUAGCCAAGUUGCUUCUAACAUGAAUAUGCUGCUAAUGUGUCUAAUACUUAUGUUUCCACAAACUCUAAGGAUUCUUGUAAGUUCCAGGGAGCCGAAUCAGAUCCAAACAGGUCAGAUUCACUCCAAGUAAUAUUCAAUCUUUCCCUGGUCCCAAAUUCCCUUCACUCAUCUUGGGACACCUCGGGAACCCCUCCCUCAUCUUACAAUCUUCCCCUCAAGUGACAGGACCUAAGAAAAAAUUUUUUUCUAAACUCAACCUUGUUUUCUGCUCUGUCAACAUCUUGCCAGGUCUAAGAGGCGCCAGGGAGUUCCAUACAGCCUGGACUACAAUGAAACAACCAGCUACCCCAGGAUGUGGUAGCACCCCAACCUUCUCGGGUCCCCCAAAGAUGGUCAACGCCCCCCACGUCAGCAGGAAGCAGUCUUAAGAAUUCGACGCCCUUAUUCCUUAACCUGCCAUGUCUAAACACCCCACCUUUUUUUAAUAAUAAGUAGAGGUGGGAAUGAAAGGUUCAGGCAUUAUGCUGGCCUGCCCCUGUUACCUGGUGGAAUCCACUCAGGCAAUACCCUGGUCAGCCCAAGGUUCCAUGGGAAAGAAGUCUGCACGCAGGUGCAGAGGACCCCUUUAAAAGAUAGGCCCCUGCACCUUUACUCUCUCUCUCUCUCUCUCUCUCUCUCUCUCUCUCUCUCUCUCUCUCUCCCUCUCUCCCUCUCUCUCUCUCCCGUCUCUCUCUCUCUCUCUGUGUGCUCUCUGUUUCCCCCGCUCUGUCUCUCUAUGGCGACCGGCCAUGGCGGUCAGCCAUUACCCUGUUCCUCUUCUUAGUCUACCCAUUCUACCGG
ensembl:lncRNA